GCCUGGCUAGCUCAGUCGGUAGAGCAUGAGACUCUUAAUCUCAGGGUUGUCGGUUUGAACCCUAUGCUAGACA